rnacentral:rRNA from 1 species
AAUCAACGCUGGCGGCGUGCCUCAGACAUGCAAGUCGAACGCGAAAGUUUCCUUCGGGGGAUGAGUAGAGUGGCGCACGGGUGAGUAACACGUAGGUAAUCUACCUUUGGAUGGGGAAUAACAAUCGGAAACGGUUGCUAAUACCGCAUAAUGCAGCGGCACCUAAUGGUGACAGUUGUUAAAGCGGGGGGAUCGAAAGACCUCGCGUCUGAAGAGGAGCCUGCGGCGGANAGCUAGUUGGUAAGGUAACGGCUUACCAAGGCGACGAUCCGUAGCCGGCCUGAGAGGGCGGUCGGCCACACUGACACUGGACAUACGGGUCAGACUCCUACCGGGAGGCAGCAGUCGGGAAUUUUUGGGC